UGGCGAUGGGUAGGCAUUUCUUGGGACUUCAGAAGAAAAUGAAGACAAAGAACCUGUUGAAGAGGAGGCGAAGGAGAAUGAACCUUAUGCUGUGCCGACUGCUGGGGCUUUCUACAUGCACGAUGAUCGGUUCCAGGACAAUGGCAGGGGUCGCCGAAGGCGUAUGUUUGGUGUCCAAAAGUUGUGGGAUUCUAAAGAUCAACGUGCUUGGGUACAUGAUAGAUUUGAAGAAAUGAAUCUGCAGGAUGCACAAAAUCAUGAGGAACAGCGGAAGUCUAGAGGUCGUUU